CUGUAGAAGGCAAGCAUACGGAACUCCGUCUGGUAUUUCUUCCUGGAAACAAACCUGCUCUCAGAAAACCCAUUGAAGUCCCUGUUUUACAACUAACAUAAUGGGCGUGUGGAAAUGCCUCUCCAUCCACCAGGGGGCAGAAACGAACCCUGUGAUUGGCCAGAGAUCUUUGGACUUCAACUUUGAUUUGGAAUAGUUGUAAUUUGCAUAGCCUUUUCACUCUCAGACAUCACUCUUUCUGUCACUAGGAACAUAACCAUAUAGACAUUUCAAAGAAACCUCUUAAUUCUGUGUGAAGCUCUAAACUUCACUCUACCAAUAAACUUCCCCACGUUCACACUAGAGAGAUGUGAUGGGAAUGCUGGGUCUUACAUAUGGUGGUCUUCAUAUUUUCGUGGAUUUGUCUUUUGAGGCAUGGAGUGCCUGACCUUUGCGUAUGCAAGAUUCGCUAGCAUGUAAACUCUGUCACUGUUUCCCAAGAACACAGAAACAG
rnacentral:lncRNA from 1 species